AAUUUUUUAGGUUAAUAAGACCUUUAAUUUUCAAAAUUAAAAGUACUGAAAAGUAAAAAUUG
rnacentral:tRNA from 1 species